AGUGAACGCUGGCGGUAGGCCUAACACAUGCAAGUCGAACGGCAGCACAGUAAGAGCUUGCUCUUACGGGUGGCGAGUGGCGGACGGGUGAGGAAUACAUCGGAAUCUACUUUUUCGUGGGGGAUAACGUAGGGAAACUUACGCUAAUACCGCAUACGACCUACGGGUGAAAGCAGGGGAUCUUCGGACCUUGCGCGAUUGAAUGAGCCGAUGUCGGAUUAGCUAGUUGGCGGGGUAAAGGCCCACCAAGGCGACGAUCCGUAGCUGGUCUGAGGGGAUGAUCAGCCACACUGGAACUGAGACACGGUCCAGACUCCUACGGGAGGCAGCAGUGGGGAAUAUUGGCCCAUGGGCGGAAGCCUGAUCCAGCCAUACCGCGUGGGUGAAGAAGGCCUUCGGGUUGUAAAGCCCUUUUGUUGGGAAAGAAAAGCAGCAGGUUAAUACCCCGCUGUUCUGACGGUACCCAAAGAAUAAGCACCGGCUAACUUCGUG
rnacentral:rRNA from 1 species